rnacentral:misc_RNA from 1 species
CUGGAAUCGCAAGAUCCCACAACCCCCGUGAACCUACCGAAACGUUGCCUCGGCGGGCGCCUGGCCUUCGCGCCGGGCGCUGAGCCCGCCGGCGGCCCCCUAUUCUUGUCUCUGUAGCGUGGUAUCUCAGAGUCCCAGAAAACAAGUCA